rnacentral:rRNA from 1 species
CACUCCUACGGGAGGCAGCAGUGGGGAAUUUUGGACAAUGGGCGAAAGCCUGAUCCAGCAAUGCCGCGUGCAGGAUGAAGGCCUUCGGGUUGUAAACUGCUUUUGUACGGAACGAAAAAGCUCCUUCUAAUACAGGGGGCCCAUGACGGUACCGUAAGAAUAAGCACCGGCUAACUACGUGCCAGCAGCCGCGGUAAUACGUAGGGUGCGAGCGUUAAUCGGAAUUACUGGGCGUAAAGCGUGCGCAGGCGGUUAUGUAAGACAGAUGUGAAAUCCCCGGGCUCAACCUGGGAACUGCAUUUGUGACUGCAUGGCUAGAGUACGGUAGAGGGGGAUGGAAUUCCGCGUGUAGCAGUGAAAUGCGUAGAUAUGCGGAGGAACACCGAUGGCGAAGGCAAUCCCCUGGACCUGUACUGACGCUCAUGCACGAAAGCGUGGGGAGCAAACAGGAUUAGAUACCCUUGUAGUCCCA